rnacentral:tRNA from 1 species
GAACCCGUGCCUGAAAUAAAGGAACACUUUGAUAGAGUGUGUCAUGGAGGUUAAAUUCCCCCCGGUUUCU